rnacentral:rRNA from 1 species
GGCGGAAGGUGCAAGCGUUGUUCGGAAUCAUUGGGCGUAAAGGGCGCGUAGGCGGGAAGAUAAGUCACAUGUGAAAGCCCCGGGCUUAACCCGGGAAGUGCAUGUGAUACUGUUUUUCUUGAGUGUCGGAGGGGAAGAUGGAAUUCAAUGUGUAGGAGUGAAAUCCGUAGAUAUAUUGAGGAACAUCGGUGGCGAAGGCGGUUUUCUGGCCGAACACUGACGUUGAGGCGCGAAAGCGUGGGGAGCAAACAGG